UACGUAGGGUGCAAGCGUUAUCCGGAAUUAUUGGGCGUAAAGCGCACGUAGGCGGCUUUGUAAGUUAGAGGUGAAAGCCCGGGGCUCAACCCCGGAAUUGCCUUUAAGACUGCAUCGCUUGAACGUCGGAGAGGUGAGUGGAAUUCCGAGUGUAGAGGUGAAAUUCGUAGAUAUUCGGAAGAACACCAGUGGCGAAGGCGGCUCACUGGACGACUGUUGACGCUGAGGUGCGAAAGCGUGGGGAGCAAACAGG
rnacentral:rRNA from 1 species